rnacentral:SRP_RNA from 1 species
GUCUUUUCUGAGGUUAUACACAGGCGUGCCCAUUCCAAGUAUGGAAUUGGCUCAUGGCCACUGGGCAAAGGCUCGGUGGUCCUGGUCACUAAGGUGGAAGGCACCGUGCUAGGCUGGUUUCACAGAGCAGCGAUCACUUCCCUCUCUUGUCGGUGGAAGGAUUACAUGCUUGUUCUUGGCAAGUC